AUUGAACGCUGGCGGCAGGCCUAACACAUGCAAGUCGAACGGUAACAGGAAACAGCUUGCUGUUUCGCUGACGAGUGGCGGACGGGUGAGUAAUGUCUGGGAAACUGCCUGAUGGAGGGGGAUAACUACUGGAAACGGUAGCUAAUACCGCAUAACGUCGCAAGACCAAAGAGGGGGACCUUCGGGCCUCUUGCCAUCGGAUGUGCCCAGAUGGGAUUAGCUAGUAGGUGGGGUAACGGCUCACCUAGGCGACGAUCCCUAGCUGGUCUGAGAGGAUGACCAGCCACACUGGAACUGAGACACGGUCCAGACUCCUACGGGGGGCAGCAGUGGGGAAUAUUGCACAAUGGGCGCAAGCCUGAUGCAGCCAUGCCGCGUGUAUGAAGAAGGCCUUCGGGUUGUAAAGUACUUUCAGCGGGGAGGAAGGGAGUAAAGUUAAUACCUUUGCUCAUUGACGUUACCCGCAGAAGAAGCACCGGCUAACUCCGUG
rnacentral:rRNA from 1 species